UUGUCUUCCCCAAAAACACGAACUAAACCCCUCUACACACGCGCACGCAAGUCCACACACGUACCGAGCUGCCAGCCGUGAAUCGUGAUGGGAAAGCCGGACGAAAAGCGAAUACAAAACAAAAGCAGGGCGAAGUUGAAUAGUUGAAGUCAGUCGAGCGAGUGACCCUCUCUGUCAAACAAUAAAAGCUGCUCUCUCUCUCCACCUUCCUCUCUCACUUUCCUUUUUUUUUAUAGGUCACAGCUUUCCUUUCCGUAUUUGGCCGUUUUUGGUGCAAUUUUCUGUGGUCGCCGUCGGUACUGUUUGAUUGUUCUGAAAGAAGUCAGGCUUUGGCGACGUGUCACCGACAUCUGUAUGUCAUGCAUGAGAGGGUGAAGGGGAUCGACACAAGGGAGGCUGUGGUGAAUGAAGAGAGAGAGAGAGAGAGAGAGAGAGGGCUUUUCAUUUCUAUGGCGCGUGGCUACUGGGGUUUUUUCUUGGUCCUAGAAAACCCUAAAUCCUUAUUUUCCCGGUUUUACACCAAAAGAAAAUGAGAUCACGGAUUGCUAGUCACUUUUGGUUUAUUUCCUUAAACGUGUCUCACUACUGCGUCUCAGAUCUGACUCAAUAUAUAUAUAUAUAUAUAUAUAUAUAUUUUUUUUUUUUAUCUUCUUUGUGUUUGUAUAUAUUCUGAAUCUUUUACUUUUUCGUUUCCACAUUUGGGAAGUUUUUAUAUCUUUACUCAUUUCAUCGCUUUUGCUUCUUCUCUCUAAUUUCUGUUUCUCUGGGACAUUGAAAUUGACAGAAGAGAGUGAGCACACAGAGGCACUUGGUAUAAGUCUAUACUAUUGCUUUUGCGUGCUCACUUCUCUUUCUGUCAGAUUCCAGUGCCGGAGAAGGCCAAAAUAUUAUCAUCCCCUCCGUCCUGUCUUUUGUUCCAGAAUCUCACUCUAAUAUUAUCUCUGAUCUUCUUCUUGGCUUUGUGGGACUUCCAACUUCAAGAGCAGCUCAUCAGGAAAAUAGGGGAUUGAAUGGGUGAUGAAAAAUAGUAACUCGUCGUCUUUUUUCCUUUUUUCAAAUUCCACCAAUAAUUUUAUGUGCAAUUACAUAUAUUAUAGUUUUAAUUGUUGUAAGCGUGACUUUUGAUGGUGUUUUUCCAACAAGGUAAGGCUGUUUACCGUGCGGAUUGGGGCGGUAAACCUUGUUUAUAUCACGGGACCAUUCACGUUAUGUAGGAGUAGUAUGGUCCUCACAAACCCUCUUUUAUCCUUCACCCUUUCCAGCUUCUUGGUUAGAACUAUUAUCAUCUUUGUAGCGCCGUUCCCCUAUUUAAUUCCUGCGCAUGCGUUUUUCACCCGAUCGAGAUUUGAUUCUUAUGGGGUUUUUUUUCUCAACUGAACCAAGCCAGAGUUUGGUUGCUCGUUAUCUCCUUUCAGAUAUAUAUAUAUUAUUGUUCCUAUGGGGUUUGAAACCCUAUUGUUUUGGCACGAGUACAGAAGGGUUUUCUAGGUCUAAGUGAUCUAGCCUAAUCUUGUCACUUACAUGCCUUACUAAUGGGUCUUUGGAGAUAAUAACUAAUCUCGAUAUGAUCUUUGAAACAAGUUUUAGCAUUUUUCAUCAUAUGUUCUGAUUUGAUGGGACAUGUUAUGCGUAGAACAGAUGUAAAACCUUUGGAUUAGGUCAUGUUAAUGAGAAUUUUACAGAAGAAGCCGUGUUGUUUCUUUGAGGUUUUGCAGGCCGGCGAGGAUAUUUAAUGGAUCCGUCAACUCAAAUGUCAUCAGAUCGAAAUCUUUCUCCGAAGAAAACUUGUCAAACAGGUUUUGUCCCGGUUUUGAGAAAAACCUGCAUGCAAUGAGCGACAAAUACCUGGAUGAGGGUAGCAUGCAUGUGUGCGGAUCGAGGUGUUUAAUUGAUGGUUUGAGGAAGAAACAAGCGGUAUGGUGCAUGGUUAAUGUCUUUCUGAUUAUGAAAAAGCGGCGGGCAGGAAAUUAUGUGAAAAUUGUUGUAAAUGCGUACAUAAACUUUGUGGGUAAUCAUAUUGCAUGUUUAUUCUCAUGUGCCUAUAAAAGUAUGGUUAGAAAAGGUUGUACGUGUCGAGUACUACCAUUUGCAACAACCAAGAAAUUCGAGGUAAAUGAUGUUGAGAUUUUUAAAAGCUAGUUUUAUGUAUCACAAUCUUUAAAUUUUCUUGUUACUUCUUUUUAAUUUUACAAUACAAUUUCAGCAGU